GACGAACGCUGGCGGCGUGCUUAACACAUGCAAGUCGAACGGUGAAGGGACUGGCUUUUGUUGGUCCUGGAUGAGUGGCGAACGGGUGAGUAACACGUGAGUAACCUGCCCCCUUCUUCUGGAUAACCGCAUGAAAGUGUGGCUAAUACGGGAUAUUCUGGGCCUGUCGCAUGACGGGCCCGGGAAAGAUAUUGUUUCGGUGGGGGAUGGGCUCGCGGCCUAUCAGCUUGUUGGUGGGGUGAUGGCCUACCAAGGCGGUGACGGGUAGCCGGCCUGAGAGGGUGGACGGUCACACUGGGACUGAGACACGGCCCAGACUCCUACGGGAGGCAGCAGUGGGGAAUAUUGCACAAUGGGCGCAAGCCUGAUGCAGCGACGCCGCGUGAGGGAUGGAGGCCUUCGGGUUGUAAACCUCUUUCGCCAAUGAAGCAGGCCUGCUUCCUUGUGGGUG
rnacentral:rRNA from 1 species